rnacentral:rRNA from 1 species
UGGGGGAAUUUUGGACAAUGGGCGAAAGCCUGAUCCAGCAAUGCCGCGUGUGUGAAGAAGGCCCUCGGGUUGUAAAGCACUUUUGUCCGGAAAGAAAUCCUUGGCUCUAAUACAGUCGGGGGAUGACGGUACCGGAAGAAUAAGCACCGGCUAACUACGUGCCAGCAGCCGCGGUAAUACGUAGGGUGCAAGCGUUAAUCGGAAUUACUGGGCGUAAAGCGUGCGCAGGCGGUUUGCUAAGACCGAUGUGAAAUCCCCGGGCUCAACCUGGGAACUGCAUUGGUGACUGGCAGGCUGGAGUAUGGCAGAGGGGGGUAGAAUUCCACGUGUAGCAGUGAAAUGCGUAGAGAUGUGGAGGAAUACCGAUGGCGAAGGCAGCCCCCUGGGCCAAUACUGACGCUCAUGCACGAAAGCGUGGGGAGCAAACAGGAUUAGAUACCCUGGUAGUCCACGCCCUAAACGAUGUCAACUAGUUGUUGGGAUUCAUUUCCUUAGUAACGUAGCUAACGCGUGAAGUUGACCGCCUGGGGAGUACGGUCGCAAGAUUAAAACUCAAAGGAAUUGACGGGGUCAUAG